GACGAACGCUGGCGGCGUGCUUAACACAUGCAAGUCGAACGGUAAGGCCCUUCGGGGUACACGAGUGGCGAACGGGUGAGUAACACGUGGGUGAUCUGCCCUGCACUUCGGGAUAAGCCAGGGAAACUGGGUCUAAUACCGGAUAGGACCACUGCCUGCAUGGGUGGUGGUGGAAAGCUUUUGCGGUGUGGGUUGGGCCCGCGGCCUAUCCGCUUGUUGGUGGGGUGAUGGCCUACCAACGCGACGACGGGUAGCCGGCCUGAGAGGGUACCCGGCCACACGGGUACUGGCGUACGGCCCGAACGCCUACGGAAGGCAGUAGUGGGGAAUAUUGCACAAUGGGCGCAAGCCUGAUUCAGCGACUCCGCGUGAGGGAUGACUGCCUUCGGGUUGUAAACCUCUUUCAGCACCGACGAAGCGCAAGUGACGGUAGGUGCAGAAGAAGGACCGGCCAACUACGUGCCAGCCGCCGCGGUAA
rnacentral:rRNA from 1 species